CGGCAGGCUUAACACAUGCAAGUUGAGUCGGGAUUGGUUGGUAGCUUGCUAUUAAUCAUGAGAGCAGCGCACUGGUGAGUAACACGUGGGAACAUACCUUUUGGUGGGGGACAACAGUUGGAAACGACUGCUAAUACCGCAUAAGCCCUGAGGGGAAAGGAGAGAUUUGCCGAAAGAUUGGCCCGCGGAAGAUUAGGUAGUAGGUGGGGCAACGGCCUACCUAGCCGACGAUCUAUAGCUGGUCUGAGAGGACGAUCAGCCACAUUGGAACUGAGACACGGUCCAGACUCCUACGGGAGGCAGCAGUGAGGAAUAUUGGGCAAUGGAGGAAACUCUGACCCAGCCAUGCCGCGUGAGUGAAGAAGGUUUUCGGAUUGUAAAGCUCUUUCGGACGGGAAGAUAAUGACGGUACCGUCUAAAGAAGCACCGGCUAACUUCGUGCC
rnacentral:rRNA from 1 species